rnacentral:rRNA from 1 species
UACGUAGGGGCCGAGCGUUGUCCGGAGUUAUUGGGCGUAAAGCGCGCGCAGGCGGCUUGGCGCGCCCGACGUGAAAGCCCCCGGCUUAACCGGGGAGAGUCGUCGGGGACGGCCGGGCUUGAGGGCGGGAGAGGGUGGUGGAAUUCCCGGUGUAGAGGUGAAAUUCGUAGAUAUUGGGAAGAACACCAGUGGCGAAGGCGGCAUCCUGGACCAACACUGACACUGAGGAGCGAAAGCCAGGGGAGCAAACGGG